UGCGCNGCUUACCAUGCAAGUCGAGCGGUAACAGGGGGAGCUUGCUCCUGCUGACGAGCGGCGGACGGGUGAGUAACGCGUAGGAAUCUACCUAGCUAGAGGGGGACAACAUGUGGAAACGCAUGCUAAUACCGCAUACGCCCUUAGGGGGAAAGGAGGGGACUUUUCGGAGCCUUCCGCUAUUAGAUGAGCCUGCGUAAGAUUAGCUAGUUGGUAGGGUAAAGGCCUACCAAGGCGACGAUCUUUAACUGGUCUGAGAGGAUGGCCAGUCACACUGGGACUGAGACACGGCCCANACUCCUACGGGAGGCANCAGUGGGGAAUAUUGGACAAUGGGCGGAAGCCUGAUCCANCCAUGCCGCGUGUGUGAANAANGCCUUANGGUUGUAAAGCACUUUCAGGGGUGAGGAAGGGUAGCUAGUUAAUACCUAGUUAUCUUGACGUUAGCCCCAAAAGAAGCACCGGCUAACUCUGUGCCNNCAGCCGCGGUAAUACANAGGGUGNANGCGUUAAUCGGAAUUACUGGGCGUAAAGNGCGCGUAGGUGGUUUG
rnacentral:rRNA from 1 species